rnacentral:rRNA from 1 species
GACGAACGCUGGCGGCGUGCCUAAUACAUGCAAGUUGAGCGAUGAAGAUUGGUGCUUGCACCAAUUUGAAGAGCAGCGAACGGGUGAGUAACGCGUGGGGAAUCUGCCUUUGAGCGGGGGACAACAUUUGGAAACGAAUGCUAAUACCGCAUAACAACUUUAAACAUAAGUUUUAAGUUUGAAAGAUGCAAUUGCAUCACUCAAAGAUGAUCCCGCGUUGUAUUAGCUAGUUGGUGAGGUAAAGGCUCACCAAGGCGAUGAUACAUAGCCGACCUGAGAGGGUGAUAGGCCACAUUGGGACUGAGACACGGCCCAAACUCCUACGGGAGGCAGCAGUAGGGAAUCUUCGGCAAUGGACGAAAGUCUGACCGAGCAACGCCGCGUGAGUGAAGAAGGGUUUCGGAUCGUAAAACUCUGUUGGUAGAGAAGAACGUUGGUGAGAGUGGAAAGCUCAUCAAGUGACGGUAACUACCCAGAAAGGGACGGCUAACUACGUG